rnacentral:rRNA from 1 species
AGUCUGACGGAGCACGCCGCGUGAACGAUGAAGGCCUUCGGGUCGUAAAGUUCUGUUGUUAGGGAAGAACAAGUACCAGAGUAACUGCUGGUACCUUGACGGUACCUAACCAGAAAGCCACGGCUAACUACGUGCCAGCAGCCGCGGUAAUACGUAGGUGGCAAGCGUUGUCCGGAAUUAUUGGGCGUAAAGCGCGCGCAGGCGGUUUCUUAAGUCUGAUGUGAAAGCCCACGGCUCAACCGUGGAGGGUCAUUGGAAACUGGGGAACUUGAGUGCAGAAGAGGAGAGUGGAAUUCCACGUGUAGCGGUGAAAUGCGUAGAGAUGUGGAGGAACACCAGUGGCGAAGGCGACUCUCUGGUCUGUAACUGACGCUGAGGCGCGAAAGCGUGGGGAGCGAACAGGAUUAGAUACCCUGGUAGUCCACGCCGUAAACGAUGAGUGCUAAGUGUUAGAGGGUUUCCGCCCUUUAGUGCUGCAGCAAACGCAUUAAGCACUCCGCCUGGG